rnacentral:lncRNA from 1 species
ACAUAAAUGUACAAAUAAUUCUAAUUCAGUUGAAUUAAUCGUUUACUAUGUAAUUAUUCUGUACUAAUAAACUCCGAUGAUGCCUUUUAUAUUACAGCUAAUUUCCUAAUGCAUGUAGAACAAAACUUUGGUUAGCUUGCUUGCUUGGUUUUUAUAUUGUACAAUCCAUAGGAUAACACCCAAUUAAAUUCAAAUAUAAUAUAUUCAGGUUAAACAAUGCCUAUAUAUUUUGUUUAAAGAUGUCAAUCUUAUUUACAAAGCUUGUAUUAACAAUUAUACAAACAAAGCAAGCAAGCAAAACAAAGUUUUACUUUGCAAGCAAUAAGAAAUCAGCUGUAAUCCGCGAAUACUGCACGGCGGGCUUUUAAAAGAAUUGACUUCCUUUUUUUUCAACAGUUCUGAUGUUUUAAAAGAUAUUCAAAUCAUAAACUGGUUAUCAGGUAUUUUGAUAAAUUUUAGGUUUCCAGCAUCACUACUAAAGUGAAGACAUACAAACAAGAGUCAUAAGUCCAGUGCCAAAUAUUUCAUGCAUUAUUCGAACGAUAUCAUAUUAACAAUAAAUACUAUACAUAAGUUUUAUUAUCAUAACGGGGAUUUAGGACUGGGCCUAAAUUUGUUUACGAGUAUUCGGGAUUAACAUUAGUUAAACUUAAAAAUCUAAAGAGCCAGUAAAGACAGAUUUAACUUCAAUAAGAAACUAUUUGAUUCUCUCAAAAAAUAGAAAAAAAA